GUAUCUAUAGUUUAAACAAAAUACUAUCCUUGUAAGUUAGAGAUGCUUAGUCUAGAUGCU
rnacentral:tRNA from 1 species